UACCUAAAUAGCCACACUACACCACCCUGGGAAUAUUAAACUAGAGCCCAAUUAGGCACACCAUCCUUUGAAACACAUGUUCAAACACACCACACAGGAGUCAUGAAUCCCAUAAUCAUAUGUUUAUUAGAGAACUUGAAUAAGCAUGCUUGCAAGGAAGAGGCGGACCUAGAGAGACUUUAGACGGUUAGCCAAAAGUAGACAAUGUUCAUACCCUAAGUUUACCUUUAAAAUCAGGGCCCAAACCGACAGCACUGUUAUACCACCACUGGAAAACACUCAAGGGUGGGGAAUGACUAAAAAAUCAUGAAAACAAAAGCUAUAUAGACGGGGCAUUGAAGUAACGAAAUCACAUUUUGUACUUGUUCAAUUUUAGAUGCUAAAAGCACAGGUGGAACAACCUCACCCCUCUGCAUCACAAGUUUAAUUUCUGUACUUUUGCUAGUGCUGCUUUUGGGAGGACUUGCAUUCACCUUCUGGAGAUAUAAAGGACAGAGGGAGAGGCAGAUGGGGAAUGACAACAGACAAAGAAGGGGCACAGACCAAGAACGUGAUAUGUCGGCCACAUCAACAUAUGAAGUUCUUCAGCAUCGCUACAGUGCAGGGCAGAUGUACUCAACCAUUGGGAUGAACACUGGAGUGAAGGUGGGUGCUGAAUAUGUGCGUGCUGUUUGUGUGUGUUUCUUUCACAUGCUUUUGAAUGGAAAAUAUACUGGAAUAUGAGAGCCAAACCGUUGUAAGCCUUAAUCUAGUUUUGAACUUGAAGCACUCUUUAGUCUGUCUGUCUGCUCAUGCUCCUUGACUGCCUGUCUGUCUGCGCAUGCUCCUUGACUGCCUGUCUGCGCAUGCUCCUUGACUGCCUGUCUGUCUGCGCAUGCUCCUUGACUGCCUGUCUGUCUGCGCAUGCUCCUUGACUGCCUGUCUGUCUGCGCAUGCUCCUUGACUGCCUGUCUGUCUGCGCAUGCUCCUUGACUGCCUUCGCCAUGUGUUCAUGUGCUCACCUCAUUAUCUGCCUCUUCAUUCGUAUCCUCGAGCUUCUCUUAAAAAUCAGUGAGUGAAUGUGCCAGUGUCCGGGGAGAGAAUAGGACCGGCUGGAAGAGAAGCACCAGUUGAUUUGACUACAACAUGCUUCAUGCUGAAGGGCAGGAGGGUGCUGCAAGCUUUUCUGUCUCUGCUUCCUAACGCCCCCUUCUGGCCGUAGCAGUCAGCACAAUUUUGCCAGUUUAACCUACCAACCAGAUAAGCAGUAUUGGUCAAUCCAGACAAUCUAUGGACAUUGCUGUUUAAUCUUCGAUAACACUUGUGCUUCUACAUUUGGCUAUACUGAGAUAUGGGUAUAUAAGGUAAUACGAAUAUAAUUAUAUAAUAAAUAGUUCAAGUUCAAGUUCA
rnacentral:lncRNA from 1 species